UUAUAAGAUUUUAAUUUUAGUCCCAUAAGAUAUCUUGUUUGUCAUUAAUCUUUAAGUACAUAUUUAGUGUGUAUCUGUGUGCCAUGGAUUUCAUAAAUUUAUGGUUUCACGGUUUAAAUGAUAGAAAGUCAAGAAGGACUUUGAUUUUGUUAUUUUCUCAAUGUUGGGGUGAGGGAUUUGUGACAUUGAUACUUAUAAUUUGAGUUCCUGAUAUAUUUGGUUGGGUUUUGACAAAUUAAGUUAAAAUCAUUUUAAUUUGAUUGUUCAAUUACAUGUUUAUGCCUUCUUUACAAUGUAUUUACGUUCAUGCUUUUGUGGCCAAUGAAAGACUAAAAUGCGAAAUGACAUGCGGAAACUGAUAAUGUGUCGUGGGUUUGUGGUGAUUUUACAAGGUCUUUUUGUGAUAUGUCAUGUUUGUCAAUGGUAGAACUUUUCAUUUUUCAGUUGUCCUUGCUAUUGAUUCGGGAAGAAUAUGCGGCUAGCUAGUUUUGGUUCUUGCUAUCUCCAGGUAUAAUUAAAUCUCUUGGAAAUUAAAAGUGCAUAUGUUGGUUAGAUUGGCCAAGUUACAACUUCAACAACUGACGUGAAACACUUUUAAAAUUGCCAAAUUCUUUGUGAAACUUUCUUUUACUUUUGGCAAUGUUGUUCGCUGAAUUUUAAAUUUUUGUGUUUUGGAUCGCUAGCUAUUGUUUAUUUUGUCCUUGUCCUUGGUUCCCUCGUUACUUUCAUUGCCUAUAUUGUGUGGAGGACUCAUUACUUCCUAUACCUAGUGGUUGCAUUCACCAUUGCUGUUGGAGUAUACUUAGGAUUUAGGACCACAAUCACAUGUGGUGGUGGUGAGAAAUAACUUAUAUUUUUGUUGUAUAUCGUCUUAAAAGUUGUUACGUUGAAAGCUAUCAGUAUGAAAGGCAUGAUGAUCGCUUAAAAUAUUAUAUUUUAAUUUUGAAAAUGGUAAGUGUUUCUCUGGAAACAAUGGUAAUUAUAGCUUUCUAGAGACACUUCAGUUCAUGGUUGCCAUCAACACCACCAAAGGAGUUUAUGUAUUUGUCCAAGCUCGUCGACUCUGGUAACAAAUAUCCCAUUCUAUGUCUUUUUUUUUCUCAGUUUUCUUAUGUUUUGUUACAAUUAUGUGUAUAUAGUUAGGUUUUUACAAUGAUAUAUAAUCACAGAUAUCAUUAGAUAAUUUAGAAGAGGUGGGUGGUGUGUGAGUGUCAGGUAUGGAAAUUGCUUCAAGACAAAGUUAUUCCAAAAAAUGCACGCUUUCAUAUCAGGCACGGAGUCAACAAAAGUGAUUCUAAACAAUAAGGAGAAAUUCUCAAAGAAGUAUAUGAAGUCAAUCGUUGAGCUUGUUGGACGUGAUAACUUGCUUUGUGCUGGACACCAACAUCACAAACUUAUUUGCAGUUCUCUUUGUUUUCUCUGUUCUCGGCCUUCCUUUGUUGAACUCUUUGAUUCACUUCUUCUUGAAGCUACAAGUAGUUGGAAAUGUGGACUAGUUCUCGUUAUUCAAGAUGAAACACUCAAGCUAAGAGGAUUCUGUUUGCCCAGAGACUAGCGGCUCAAGCUACAAAUGAGAAUUCAGCUUCUUCAGUACAAAUACACUAGUACUUAAUGACUAGUCCAUUCAAUGACGUGGCAACACGCAAAUCCUUUGAAAGUCAUAAAUAUUUAGGUCUCAAGGCUGAACAGCCAAACUGGAAAUGUAUACAAGAAUGUGAAGAGGAAGAUUGAGAGAGGAGUUUUUCCAACAUGUAUAUCAGGAAACAACUUAGUUACUUUGAAAGAUUAGGAAAGGAGAGUUAGUAGCAUAAACAGAGAAGAUUUGCAUAUGAAUGUUGUGUAAUGAUCAAAUCAGAUGAUGUGACGAUUGCAAUGGCAGAAGACCUAGAAUGGAACGAGCAGACUUGUUAGACAUAAAUGGACAAAUUUAUGCAGCGCAGGUCAAAUUUUAUUUAUUUUAAAA